UACAGAGGUCCCAAGCGUUGUUCGGAUUCACUGGGCGUAAAGGGUGCGUAGGCGGUCGGGUAAGUCUGAUGUGAAAUCUCACAGCUUAACUGUGAAACUGCAUUGGAUACUAUUCGGCUUGAGAGUUGGAGGGGGGACUGGAAUUCUUGGUGUAGCAGUGAAAUGCGUAGAUAUCAAGAGGAACACCAGUGGCGAAGGCAGGUCUCUGGGCCACUACUGACGCUGAGAAGCGAAAGCAUGGGGAGCGAACAGG
rnacentral:rRNA from 1 species